rnacentral:rRNA from 1 species
UUAAGAAAUAAUUAUUUAAAAUAAUACCUGCUCAAUGAAUUAUUAAUAAAUAGCUGCAAAUUUUUGUACUAAGGUAGCAUAAUCAUUAGCUUUCUAAUUAAAAGAUAGAAUGAAUGGUCAUACGAAAUAUAAACUGUUUCUAAAAAUUAAAAUAACUUAAAAUUUAAAGUAAAAAUUCUUUAAUCUAUAAGAAAGACGACAAGACCCUAAAAAACUUAAAAUUUUACUGGGGUGGUAUAAAAAUAAAAUCUUAAUUUAUAUAAUUUACAAAACUUUUUUAAUAAAUAUAGAUAAAGUUACUUUAGGGAUAACAGCGCAAUUUUAAUUUAAAGAUCUUAUAAAAAUUAAAUAUUACGACCUCGAUGUUGAAUUAAUUUAAUUUUAUAUAGCAAAAUAUAUAAAAAAAGGUCUGUUCGACCAAUAAAAAAUUACGUGAUCUGAGUUCA